AUCCUGAUAGCUCAAACAUAAAGCGUUAGUUUUGUAAACUAAAAAUGGGUUAACCCUCAGGAUU
rnacentral:tRNA from 1 species